rnacentral:rRNA from 1 species
GAUGAACGCUGGCGGCGUGCUUAACACAUGCAAGUCGAGCGAAGCACUUUUGCGGAUUUCUUCGGAUUGAAGCAAUUGUGACUGAGCGGCGGACGGGUGAGUAACGCGUGGGUAACCUGCCUCAUACAGGGGGAUAACAGUUGGAAACGGCUGCUAAUACCGCAUAAGCGCACAGUACCGCAUGGUACCGUGUGAAAAACUCCGGUGGUAUGAGAUGGACCCGCGUCUGAUUAGCUAGUUGGUGGGGUAACGGCCUACCAAGGCGACGAUCAGUAGCCGACCUGAGAGGGUGACCGGCCACAUUGGGACUGAGACACGGCCCAAACUCCUACGGGAGGCAGCAGUGGGGAAUAUUGCACAAUGGGGGAAACCCUGAUGCAGCGACGCCGCGUGAGCGAUGAAGUAUUUCGGUAUGUAAAGCUCUAUCAGCAGGGAAGAAAAUGACGGUAC